rnacentral:rRNA from 1 species
CCUACGGGAGGCAGCAGUGAGGAAUAUUGGUCAAUGGGCGCGAGCCUGAACCAGCCAAGUCGCGUGAGGGAAGACGGUCCUAUGGAUUGUAAACCUCUUUUGUCGGGGAGCAAAAGACGCCACGCGUGGCGUUCCGAGAGUACCCGAUGAAAAAGCAUCGGCUAACUCCGGGCCAGCAGCCGCGGUAAUACGGAGGAUGCGGGCGUUAUCCGGAUUUAUUGGGUUAAAAGGGUGCGCAGGGGGAAGAUCAAGUCAGUGGUAAAAUUGAGAGGCUCAACCUCUUCGAGCCGUUGAAACUGGUUGUCUUGAGUGAGCGAGAAGUAUGCGGAAUGCGUGGUGUAGCGGUGAAAUGCAUAGAUAUCACGCAGAACUCCGAUUGCGAAGGCAGCAUACCGGCGCUCAACUGACGCUCAUGCACGAAAGUGUGGGUAUCGAACAGGAUUAGAUACCCUUGUAGUC